rnacentral:lncRNA from 1 species
AUCACCAAAAUAGCAUCAUCCAUUUGCGCGGCACCAGUAAUCAUAUUCUUAACAUAAUCAACAUGUUCAGUACAAUUCACAUGAGUGUAGUAGCAAUUUUUAAAUAUAAUAAGCAUGUCUAGGACAAUCCACAUGAUAGAAAUUCACAAGUAACAUUAUAGUAGCAAAUGUGAUAACAAUUGCAUCGAAGAGAAAAAAAAAAAAAAGAUGAGAGAAUGCAAGAAAAGAAUCGGGGCGGGGAAUACAUAGUGGGACAAAACCUUGCACAGAAAAUUUGAUUAAAAAAAAAAAAACAGCCAUCAACCUAGCAAUAACUAAUGGUUGUGACCUUAAAACCUCUGCUGCUUCUUCUACCUCUAGCACGCUAAAUUUCCUACCCUUGGCUCGCACAUUUGGCUUGGUGUGGCUGUGUGGAACACUAGGAGUUGGACCAAAGUGCUUCGCUGCCUCACGAGACUUCACGGGUCCUCUAAGAAGUACUUGCAUCAAAACAGCACAGUUAGCUAUUUUGGGUUUCAUAACAGCAUAAGAUUUUUGUAGCACAAACAGAAAAAGGCAAAAUUUACCAGCAGAAUCAUAACUGUGAGCAAGACCAAAGUAGUUGAAAAAAAAAAUCCUUAACAAAGCAAUUUUUGUGAGUAACAGAAUCCAUAUCAAUCCUUAAAUACUAGUUCAAAGGAAACAAUGAAUCAAAC